rnacentral:tRNA from 1 species
GUUACCAUAGUCUAAAAA